AAGCAACACUCUGUGGCAAAUUAUCAAAAUAGUCUGACACAAUUUGAGCUUGCUACAGCAAUAAAGUCUAACCUAUUCCAUCACUCUCCCCUCUGUGAGAUGGUCCAUUACAUAAACUUCAACAGC
rnacentral:snoRNA from 1 species